UCCCACCACACUUGACUCUGUGGUUGCCUU
rnacentral:piRNA from 1 species